UCAGUGAUCACAAAAAACCCUGAAAAACAAACAAACAUUUUUCAUCUGCAUAAAUGAUUUGCUUGUUUAAAUAUCAAAAGCUUUUCAUUAUCCAGAGUCAUUAUGCAGGGACUUCUAAACCCAUUGAACAUAAUGAUCCAACGCCAUCUCCCAAUCUUGAAGUCCUUGUAUCUGAGGCAGAGGAAGAUGAUGUUGAAGGGGAUUCCUGACGAGAUUACCCGCCUUCUUGAGCACCAAAGAAGCUCAUUCAGCUGUAUCAUGAGAAUCAGCAAAACAGUCAAACUGGGGAUU
rnacentral:lncRNA from 1 species